CUGCAUGCAGAGCCAUGUUGCAGUCGAACAGGAAACAGCAGAAGGCUUUGGGAAUGAAACGAGGUCAUGUACCCUAAAAACUCUUACAAUGACAAAAACAUUCAAAAAAACAAUGCAGCAAUGUAAAGGCAUAAAUGAAAAGGUAAACAGUGACAAACAUUUAUAGAAUAAACUAGAGACAGAAAAACGGGAACCGAUAGACAAUGAGAGAGACAGGGGCAGACCUUGCCACCGCAAGUCUGGUCAAAAAAAUGUUUCCUGUUUGCACUCUUUCAGUUUAUGCAUCAGACAGAUUUGGAAAUAACAUUUCUUUCAUCAAACACAGCUGACCUAACUUUCUGGUUUUAAUUCUUUUAAUUUUUUUGGUGACAUCUGUUGGUUAUUUGAUGGUGUUAAUCAGAGUAGUAUAACAAUGAUAGCACUCCUAAUUUUGCUGUUUGGACUCUUCACGUCAGGAUCAUGUGGUCUAAAUGACACAAAAGCAUUAGUGGGGCAGAAUGUGAAUCUGUCCUGCAUUAUAGAGCGUGUACAAGCAAACAUCGUCCAGAUCCAGUGGAGUCGUAGGAUGGGUGGAGAGGAUGUGAAGUUGUUUGUGUAUAACCCAUCAAUGGGGCAAUACACCUACACAAAUGACGAUAAAUUUACAAUGACGGCAUUCAAAACCACUCAUAAUGGCCAACUUAGGGGCUCUUAUUUGGGCAUAGCACAAGUGGAGUCGAAUUACAGUGGAGAGUACAUCUGCGAAAUCACUACCUUCCCUUCUGGUUCCAUUCUCAAGAAAAUUAACCUGGAUGUCAAAGAAAUGAAUCUUGGGAUAAUCCCGGUUGGGGUUAUUGUAGAAGGGGAUAAUGUGACAAUCAGGUGCAACAGCAAGCCUCCUGCUGACCGUUACAAACUUUUGUCGACUAAGAUUGAAAACAAAGUUAUGCAGAAUCAAGAUGGUGUUUUUGUAAUUCCCAACAUUAGGAGACAUGACAGCGGUCUGUAUAUCUGCCAUUCAGAAUUGGAAUCAUUACAUCAAAAUGCAACAAUACAAAUUUCAGUUAACUAUCUUGAUCAAAUUAAAUGCAAUGUGGGGAGAUAUAUUGACCUUCAUCUUGGCCAGAAUUUGAGUAUUGCAUGCACUGCCAGUGCUUCACAGAAUGUGGAGUACAUAUGGACUAAGGAUGGUGUCAACGUGUCGCAUGUGCCCUCCAUCUCCCUGAGAUCUGUGAACAGCACUCAGGCUGGACUGUACAAGCUCACGGCAUACAUCAGCGGCCUUCACAGUCUUCUCCAGCAACUGCAGCUUAACAUCACAGUCAGAUCAUUGGAUCACACCGCGACAGCAUCCACCUCUGUGGCCACCACCACUAUGACAUAUCCCUCCAACAGCAGAACUAAAGUCACCACAGUGGUGAAUGAACAGGAUGGUUCCUUGUCCGGUUCCACAUCACCGCAGCCAACUGCAUCAUUUUCAACACGACCGGGAAACCACUCAGAUUCAGGACAGCCCACCACCAACAUUACCGUAUCGGUACAUUUUAUAACAAGUACCAUCCUGCUUACUAAAUUUCAACAACAACCCCAAGAGAUACUUAUAACAGAUGCCAGCAGUGGGGAGCAUUUGCUAUGGAUCUUUCUGCCCCUUCUUCUUUUAUUGGUAGUUGUGGGAUUUCUUUCCUUCAGGUAUAUCAGGAAGAAGAGAUGUGCUAGUGCAUUGGAUUCCUGUACACUAGAGACGAUGAAGGACAGCAAACGGCUCAUAGCUGCACUAAACCAGAUUUCUGACCCUGCCAAACCACAAGUGACAGUGGUGCUGCUCUGAGGAGGAGGAGAAAACCGCAGCGAAUCCCACCCCCCCCAGGCCAAGUGACCAAUAGAGAGAUUCAUUCUCGAGCUCAAGACAUGGACACUGAAUGCACUCAUAAGCUUCAUUUACAGUUUUCUAAAAUAUCUUGCUCCAAGUGUAUGCGUGUUUUUGUGGUUUUGUAAUUAAAGCUGCAGAUAUAGGAGGGACACUUCCUGCCAUUGCACUGGUGGUCGGAAAUGGAAAAAGGAAACCUGUUUGUGUGUCAAACACAUGUUCACAGCCAGUAGAACAAUGCGAUACACAUCUCAACUGCUGCUAUAUUUACUGACAUUUGUGACUCUAUGACUGGCAUUCAACAACACAUCACCAUUUACUCAUGAUUGACUCAAAAAUGUUGUUCAGGAACAAAGCUUAUUGCAGGGUGAUUUAUUGUUGAUUUUGUACAAAAUGAAGUACACUUUUAAAACAAACCUUUGUGGAACACAUGCACAGUUACCUCUCUGAAAAUAUGGUUGCAUUAUAGGCUACUUGCGUGUAUUCAGGCUUUAUUUAGGGAUUGCAGAGAUUAAAAAAAUAGGUUUAUGUAUCCUAUUUACAUUGAAGUUUUGUAUUUAGAGCCCUGGUGACCAAUAUGAGGUGGACCUGUGUUGAGAGAAUGAAAUGAAGGAAAGAUUUGCGACAUUUUCACAAAAAAUGCAGACACGCAAAACAACAGUGCGCUUUUUAGAGAACGACAUCAAGGUUGAAAGCUUGAGCAUCAAAGACUUCAGACAG
ensembl:lncRNA CD166 antigen homolog